UACGGGGGGGCAAGCGUUGUUCGGAAUUACUGGGCGUAAAGGGCUCGUAGGCGGCCAACUAAGUCGGAUGUGAAAUCCCCAGGCUUAACCUGGGAACUGCAUCCGAUACUGGAUGGCUUGAAUCCGGGAGAGGGAUGCAGAAUUCCAGGUGUAGCGGUGAAAUGCGUAGAUAUCUGGAGGAAUACCGGUGGCGAAGGCGGCAUCCUGGACCGGCAUUGACGCUGAGGAGCGAAAAGCUAGGGGAGCAAACGGGG
rnacentral:rRNA from 1 species